rnacentral:rRNA from 1 species
UACGUAGGGUGCGAGCGUUGUCCGGAAUUAUUGGGCGUAAAGAGCUCGUAGGCGGUCUGUCGCGUCGGUCGUGAAAACUUGGGGCUUAACCCUGAGCUUGCGGUCGAUACGGGCAUGACUGGAGUUCGGCAGGGGAGACUGGAAUUCCUGGUGUAGCGGUGAAAUGCGCAGAUAUCAGGAGGAACACCAGUGGCGAAGGCGGUUGCCUGGGGCUUUGCUGACGCUGAUGCGCGAAAGCGUGGGGAGCGAUCCGG